GACGUCGAUAUCACGGAAGGUUCCAGCGAAAUAUAACUGCCCCAUUUAACGUGUCAAGCAUUUCGUUAGAUCAUGCCCAACCCAAAUAACGAAUCAAAGGCCAAAGAGACGACACCGGCAGGCAGCCCACCAACCGGGCAAACUAACGUGCAAUGCGGCAACGCGCAAAUAAAACCUGACGCUUCAAAUCAGGACAACAAGAAAAAGAAUGUAAGCACUUCCUGUUGCUGUGCGCAUAAUGGAUAAUGCUAUGGUCACCUUGACAUUGGGUUUCUCUAUGCGCGAAUUUCCCUCUUUCAUCUCGCUGUUGUAAGACUUUGAGAUAUAUCGACCAACUCAAUAAUAUACUUACUGUUGAUCGUUGAA